rnacentral:rRNA from 1 species
ACGGGGGGCAGCCUUGGGGGAUAUUGCACAAUGGAGGAAACUCUGAUGCAGCAACGCCGCGUGAGGGAAGAAGGUCUUCGGAUUGUAAACCUUUGUUUUUAGUGAAGAAAGAAAUGACGGUAGCUAAAGAGGAAGCCACGGCUAACUACGUGCCAGCAGCCGCGGUAAUACGUAGGUGGCAAGCGUUGUCCGGAUUUACUGGGUGUAAAGGGUGCGCAGGCGGGACUGCAAGUUGGAUGUGAAAUACCGGAGCUUAACUCCGGAACCGCAUCCCAAACUGUAGUUCUUGAGUGGAGUAGAGGUAAGCGGAAUUCCGAGUGUAGCGGUGAAAUGCGUAGAUAUUCGGAGGAACACCAGUGGCGAAUGCGGCUUACUGGGCUCUAACUGACGCUGAGGCACGAAAGUGUGGGUAGCAAACAGGAUUAGAUACCCUGGUA